GAUACUUGGUGUGAAUUGCAGAAUCCCGCGAACCAUCGAGUCUUUGAACGCAAGUUGCGCCCGAAGCCAUUAGGCCGAGGGCACGUCUGCCUGGGCGUCACGCAUCGCGUCGCCGCCCCCCAUCGCGCGGGGCGGCGGAAAUUGGCCUCCCGUGC
rnacentral:rRNA from 1 species